AUGACGGCCGGUGCUGUGACAGGAGGCCACCUCCCUGGCCAUGGAUAUUUGUUGAUGGACGAGAUGCUGGAUCCUGCCUCGACAGGAGCUGCAAUUUGGCGAGAUUUCUUGCUACAACGAGUUUGUUGUUUUGCUGGAAUCAAAAUCAUUUUUGCUACGAUCCUACAAUUGGGGUACUUUUUUGUUGGAUCCAGUCUAAAUGUUUGCUACACUGUCUCUUGUUUUUGCUACCAGCGUCCUUCUGAUUUUUUGCACCACCUGCCCUUGAAUUUUUUGUUGGAAUCACUACAAAUGUUUGCUACAACCAUCUUCGUUGUUGCUACUGUCCCCGUCUUUGAUUUUUUUUUGCUUCGAUCCAUCUUUUUGUUGGAACCACUCAAAAAUUUGUUACCAAUGUCUUUGAUUUUUGCUACCACCCACGUCUUUUGA
rnacentral:rRNA from 1 species